GACGGAGGAUGCAAGCGUUAUCCGGAAUGAUUGGGCGUAAAGCGUCCGCAGGUGGCAGUUCAAGUCUGCUGUCAAAGACCGGGGCUUAACUUCGGAAAGGCAGUGGAAACUGAACAGCUAGAGUAUGGUAGGGGCAGAGGGAAUUCCUGGUGUAGCGGUGAAAUGCGUAGAGAUCAGGAAGAACACCUAUGGCGAAGGCAGCUCUCUGGGCCGAUACUGACGCUGAGGAGCGAAAGCGUGGGGAGCGAACAGG
rnacentral:rRNA from 1 species